ACAGUUACAGAUUUCUCGGCGGUCUGUUUCACCUUCCACGGCUCCACGACCCCGUCUGCCGCGCGCGGUGCGCCGGGAAACCGCCUUCCGCCCUCAGCCGGCGCCUCCCGGCCCCGGGCACCGGCCACGCCCACGCGUGAGUGCGUGACGCGCCCACGGCCCAUGCCUCCGCGGCCGAGCGGCACCGCCCAGGCCCCAGGCGCCCACCCGCACAGCCCACCGCGCCUGCGGCACCGCCCAGUCGAGGUACCCCGUGCCCACGGCCUUCGCUCCGCCUCUGCGCCCACCAGCACCGGCAGACCAGCCUCUGCCUCCCCGCGCUCGGUGAGGUGAGGACUGGCAGUUCGUGCGUGCCUUUGUUUACAGGCGGCUGUCAAGUGUCAACAUCCAGGGCACUCUCAGCGACAGCAUUGGACAGCUCACCCAGCUCAUGUACCUGUUUACAGGCACAAUAUCCUCUUCACUUGGUUUACUCUCAAAUCUCUUCUGGCUGGACCUGGUUGAUAAUCGGCUCACUGGACCUAUCCUGGUCUCAACAGCAAUGAUACCAGGGCUUGACCAACUUACCCACAAGAAGCACUUAUUGUAGGCGUAGAGGGAAGAAGAACAAGGCCGGAGAGAGUUGGAGCGGGAGGACGUCGUGCUGCUGCAUGGUGAUGAGCACGGUGAUCAACACAGGUGUGGGAGCAACUUUUCCAUUCUUUAUUGAUAGAUAUCGCCUGCCAUCUAAUGUAGACUCCAGCUUCUAUAUGUAGCCAUCUAACAAACCGGCACCCAGGCUGUUUUG